CAGCCGUAAACAAUGUGCGUUAGGUGUGUCGGUAACCACGUGUUACUGAUGCGCCGAAGAGAAAUCGUGAAACGCACCACCUGGGAAGUACGGUCGCAAGGCUGAAACUUAAAGGAAUUGGCGGGGGAGCACCACAACAGGUGGAGCCUGCGGUUUAAUUGGAUUCAACGCCGGAAAACUCACCAGGGGAGACUGUUACAUGAAACCCAGACUAAUGAUCUUGGUUGAUUUUCAGAGAGGUGGUGCAUGGCGUCAGUGACU
rnacentral:rRNA from 1 species